ACAGUAGGGAUAUCCACAAUGGACGAAAGUCUGAUGGAGCGACACAGCGUGCAGGAUGAAGGCCCUAUGGGUUGUAAACUGCUGUGGUUAGGGAAGAAAAAGUAGCAUAGGAAAUGAUGCUACUUUGACGGUACCUGAUUAGAAAGCAACGGCUAACUAUGUGCCAGCAGCCGCGGUAAUACAUAGGUUGCAAGCGUUAUCCGAAAUUAUUGGGCGUAAAGCGUCUGUAGGUUGUUUGUUAAGUCUGGCGUUAAAUUUUGGGGCUCAACCCCAAAACGCGUUGGAUACUGGCAGACUAGAGUUAUGUAGAGGUUAGCGGAAUUCCUUGUGAAGCGGUGAAAUGCGUAGAUAUAAGGAAGAACAUCAAUAUGGCGAAGGCAGCUAACUGGGCAUACACUGACACUGAGAGACGAAAGCGUGGGGAGCAAACAGGAUUAGAUACCCUGGUAGUCCACGCCCUAAACGAUGAUCAUUAGUUGAUGGGGAACUCAUCGACGCAGCUAACGCAUUAAAUGAUCCGCCUGAGUAGUACGUUCGCAAGAAUAAAACUUAAAGGAAUUGACGGGGAUCCGCACAAGCGGUGGAGCAUGUGGUUUAAUUUGAUGUUACGCGUAGAACCUUACCCACUCUUGACAUCUUCUGCAAAGCUAUGGAGACAUAGUGGAGGUUAACAGAAUGACAGAUGGUGCAUGGUUGUCGUCAGCUCGUGUCGUGAGAUGUUCGGUUAAGUCCUGCAACGAGCGCAACCCUUAUCCUUAGUUACUACCAUUUAGUUGAGCACUCUAAGGAGACUGCCCGAGUAAUCGGGAGGAAGGUGGGGACGACGUCAAAUCAUCAUGCCUCUUACGAGUGGGGCUACACACGUGCUACAAUGGACGGUACAAAGAGAAGCGAAGUGGUGACAUGGAGCAAACCUCAA
rnacentral:rRNA from 2 species